GUGCUUGCUUCAGCAGCACAAAUACUAAAACUGGAACAAUACAGAGAAGAUUAGCAUGGCCCCUGUGCAAGGAUGACACACAAGUUCAUGAAGUGUUCCAGAUCUCU